AGUGAACGCUGGCGGUAGGCCUAACACAUGCAAGUCGAACGGCAGCACAGUAAGAGCUUGCUCUUACGGGUGGCGAGUGGCGGACGGGUGAGGAAUACAUCGGAAUCUACUUUUUCGUGGGGGAUAACGAAGGGAAACUUACGCUAAUACCGCAUACGACCUACGGGUGAAAGCAGGGGAUCUUCGGACCUUGCGCGAUUGAAUGAGCCGAUGUCGGAUUAGCUAGUUGGCGGGGUAAAGGCCCACCAAGGCGACGAUCCGUAGCUGGUCUGAGAGGAUGAUCAGCCACACUGGAACUGAGACACGGUCCAGACUCCUACGGGAGGCAGCAGUGGGGAAUAUUGGACAAUGGGCGCAAGCCUGAUCCAGCCAUACCGCGUGGGUGAAGAAGGCCUUCGGGUUGUAAAGCCCUUUUGUUGGGAAAGAAAAGCAGCAGGUUAAUACCCCGCUGUUCUGACGGUACCCAAAGAACAAGCACCGGCUAACUUCGUG
rnacentral:rRNA from 1 species